ACUCCUACGGGAGGCAGCAGUAAGGAAUAUUGGUCAAUGGGGGCAACCCUGAACCAGCCAUGCCGCGUGCAGGAAGACGGCCCUCUGGGUUGUAAACUGCUUUUAUCCGGGAAUAAACCCCCUUACGUGUAAGGGGCUGAAUGUACCGGAAGAAUAAGGAUCGGCUAACUCCGUGCCAGCAGCCGCGGUAAUACGGAGGAUCCAAGCGUUAUCCGGAUUUAUUGGGUUUAAAGGGUGCGUAGGCGGCCUGUUAAGUCAGGGGUGAAAGACGGUGGCUCAACCAUCGCAGUGCCUUUGAUACUGACGGGCUUGAAUACACUUGAAGUAGGCGGAAUGUGACAAGUAGCGGUGAAAUGCAUAGAUAUGUCACAGAACACCGAUUGCGAAGGCAGCUUACUAAGGUGCAAUUGACGCUGAGGCACGAAAGCGUGGGGAUCAAACAGGAUUAGAUACCCUGGUAGUCCACGCCCUAAACGAUGAAUACUCGAUGUUAGCGAUAUACAGUUAGCGUCUAAGCGAAAGCGUUAAGUAUUCCACCUGGGGAGUACGCCCGCAAGGGUGAAACUCAAAGGAAUUGACGGGGGCCCGCACAAGCGGAGGAGCAUGUGGUUUAAUUCGAUGAUACGCGAGGAACCUUACCCGGGCUUGAAAGUUACUGAAGUAUCCAGAGAUGGAUGCGUCC
rnacentral:rRNA from 1 species